CAAUCUCUUGAAGAGAAUCGAAGGCUUCUCACCCCACUCUCAUAGCUUGUUCUCCGCCAUCGGCGCCGCCUCCGCGGCCUCCGCUGCGGCCGCUUUCAUUGCGGCCGAGAGGCCCUUCGCUCCUGCUCCGAGAUUUGAACCAGUUUACUGUACUUGAUUUAUCUAAUAAUUUUUUUAUAAAUUUUAAUUUUAAUAUAUUAAUAUUAUCUUGACGAACGCAUCAGCCGGGAUGAAAACCUAGUCCAGACUGGACUCGAACUAUACGGAGAUAAACCACAUUACUCACGGUUAGGUCGCGAUGAAAUCAUGAAAAACAUGGUUUCUCCUGCUCGAUCUCUUGAAGAGAAGCCAGGCUUCUCCCCCCGCUCCCACAGCUUGUUUUCCGCCUCCGCCGCGGCCGCUUCCAUUGCGGUCGGGAGGCCUUUCGCUCCUGCGCUGUUUUCAGACGUUCCUAAGCCAUGUGCACAGCUCAAAGAGGUUUGCCAACUCUAUUGUAUUUCUAUGUAAUGUCAGCAGAACAACUCUCGGAGGGACAUUUGUUAUGUGUAGCUGCAUCAUGGUUUAUCCAAAUUGUGACUGAGAUUUACAGAUGCUUCCUCCGCAAGUCCAGUGAUGAUAAUGAAGUGGUUGAUCCAAGGACAAAAUUCAAGCAUUUUAGGAAAAAGGUGUAUGGAAUGGAACUGUGGUCAAAUGUGGUGCAUCAUUAGUUUUUGCAUCUAUUGGCAAGGGAUUGGUGCCCUUUUUCAUCCUUCAACUGGGCAAUGGAUUGAUGUUUUCUAUAGAUGAGCCCUAUGUGCUUGGAGGUUUGUUGGCAUUUCUCUGACCUUGCAGAGAGUGACAGUGUUAGAUUCUCUACUGAGUCCACAAAAUAUGUGCCUUGGAUAUUGGAAUCAUCAACAACAGCAUGCGGGCGUGGCACGGAUUGUCGGCAGGUGUCACCUCGAUAUGUGCAAAGGCUUCUGAAGAAAACUUUGAACAGGCAAUUUAACAGCUAUCGCAUGGAGUGUCGGCAAUGACACAUGGUGCAUUGGCUUCACUUAAUUCGCACCUGCGCAAACCAUGAAGCUUGAGUAACUAGGAUUUAGUAGAUUCUCGUUUUAUGACAUGAAAUGCCUGUUAGGAAAUGUAAAACUUGUUCUUCCUUGAAAUGACAUGAACCUUCCAAUGCGUGUACAUUAUGAUAAGCAAUAUACUGAUCUUUACAUUAUUCAGACAGGUUUCUUAAAA